rnacentral:rRNA from 1 species
UACGUAGGGUGCGAGCGUUAAUCGGAAUUACUGGGCGUAAAGCGUGCGUAGGCGGUUCUCCAAGUCCGUUGUGAAAGCCCCGGGCUCAACCUGGGAAUGGCAGUGGAAACUAGGGGACUGGAAUCUGGCAGAGGGGGGUGGAAUGCCGCGUGUAGCAGUGAAAUGCGUAGAGAUGCGGAGGAACACCGAUGGCGAAGGCAGGUCUCUGGGCUGACACUGACGCUCAUGCACGAAAGCGUGGGGAGCAAACAGG